UAGGGAAUCUUCGGCAAUGGACGAAAGUCUGACCGAGCAACGCCGCGUGAGUGAAGAAGGCUUUCGGAUCGUAAAACUCUGUUGUUAGAGAAGAACAAGGACGUUAGUAACUGAACGUCCCCUGACGGUAUCUAACCAGAAAGCCACGGCUAACUACGUGCCAGCAGCCGCGGUAAUACGUAGGUGGCAAGCGUUGUCCGGAUUUAUUGGGCGUAAAGCGAGCGCAGGGGGUUUCUUAAGUCUGAUGUGAAAGCCCCCGGCUCAACCGGGGGAGGUCAUAGGAGACUGGGAGACUUGAGUGGAGGAGGGGAGAGUGGAAUUCCAUGUGUAGCGGUGAAAUGCGUAGAUAUAUGGAGGAAAACCAGUGGGGAAGGCGGCUCUCUGGUCUGUAACUGACGCUGAGGAUCGAAAGCGUGGGGAGCGAACAGG
rnacentral:rRNA from 1 species